CAGCAGCAGCCGCGGUAAUACAGAGGGUGCGAGCGUUAAUCGGAUUUACUGGGCGUAAAGCGUGCGUAGGCGGCUAAUUGAGUCGGAUGUGAAAUCCCCGAGCUUAACUUGGGAAUUGCAUUCGAUACUGGUUAGCUAGAGUGUGGGAGAGGAUGGUAGAAUUCCAGGUGUAGCGGUGAAAUGCGUAGAGAUCUGGAGGAAUACCGAUGGCGAAGGCAGCCAUCUGGCCUAACACUGACGCUGAGGUACGAAAGCAUGGGGAGCAAACAGGAUUAGAUACCCCUGUAGUCCCUGUCUCUUAUAC
rnacentral:rRNA from 1 species